UGAGCUGACGCUCGGAAGGUGUCUUGAGAUUAUCAUCCGCUGAGGGUGGAAGCGGCCCCCGCAGACGCUCAGCAGGUGUCUUGAUAUUAUCAUCUGCUGAGGGUGGAGCUGAGGGUGGAAAGGGAGUGAGCUGACGCUCGGAAGGUGUCUUGAGAUUAUCAUCGGCUGAUGGUGGAAGCGGAAUCCGCAGACGCUCAGCAGGUAUCUUGAUAUUAUCAUCUGCUGAGGGUGGAGCUGAGGGUGGAAGGGGAGUGAGCUGACGCUCGGAAGGUGUCUUGAGAUCAUCCGCUGAGGGUGGAAGGCAGGUGUCUUGAGAUUAUCAUCCGCUGAGGGUGGAAGGCAGGUGUCUUGAUAUUAUCAUCCGCUGAGGGUGGAGCUGAGGGUAGAGCUGAGGGUGGAAGGGGAGUGAGCAGACACUCGGGAGGUGUCUUGAGAUUAUCAUCCGCUGAGGGUGGAAGGGGAGUGAGCACACACUCGGGAGGUGUCUUGAGAUUAUCAU
rnacentral:lncRNA from 1 species